GAUGAACGCUAGCUACAGGCUUAACACAUGCAAGUCGAGGGGAAACGACAUCGAAAGCUUGCUUUUGAUGGGUGUCGACCGGCGCACGGGUGAGUAACGCGUAUCCAACCUGCCCAUCACUUGGGGAUAACCUUGCGAAAGUAAGACUAAUACCCAAUGACGUCUCUAGAAGACAUCUGAAAGAGAUUAAAGAUUUAUCGGUGAUGGAUGGGGAUGCGUCUGAUUAGCUUGUUGGCGGGGUAACGGCCCACCAAGGCGACGAUCAGUAGGGGUUCUGAGAGGAAGGUCCCCCACAUUGGAACUGAGACACGGUCCAAACUCCUACGGGAGGCAGCAGUGAGGAAUAUUGGUCAAUGGACGAGAGUCUGAACCAGCCAAGUAGCGUGCAGGAAGACGGCCCUAUGGGUUGUAAACUGCUUUUAUAAGGGAAUAAAGUGAGUCUCGUGAGACUUUUUGCAUGUACCUUAUGAAUAAGGACCGGCUAAUUCCGUGCCAGCAGCCG
rnacentral:rRNA from 1 species